rnacentral:rRNA from 1 species
AUUGAACGCUGGCGGCAGGCCUAACACAUGCAAGUCGAGCGGCAGCGGGAAAGUAGCUUGCUACUUUUGCCGGCGAGCGGCGGACGGGUGAGUAAUGCCUGGGAAAUUGCCCAGUCGAGGGGGAUAACAGUUGGAAACGACUGCUAAUACCGCAUACGCCCUACGGGGGAAAGCAGGGGACCUUCGGGCCUUGCGCGAUUGGAUAUGCCCAGGUGGGAUUAGCUAGUUGGUGAGGUAAUGGCUCACCAAGGUGACGAUCCCUAGCUGGUCUGAGAGGAUGAUCAGCCACACUGGAACUGAGACACGGUCCAGACUCCUACGGGAGGCAGCAGUGGGGAAUAUUGCACAAUGGGGGAGGGACUGAUGCCGCCUUGCCGGGUGUCUGAAGAAGGCCUUCGGUUUGGUUAGCGCUUUUGCGAGGAGGAAAAGGUUUAUGCCACUGCUAUGUUUGGGAUGUUUACCGAAGAAGAGUACGGGUU